CCUACGGGAGGCAGCAGUGAGGAAUAUUGGGCAAUGGGCGGGAGCCUGAACCAGCAAAGCCGCGUGAGGGAAGAAGGUACAGCGGAUCGUAAACCUCUUUUGUCAGGGAACAAAGGCGGGCACUAGUCCCCGGAUGAGGGUACCUGAAGAAAAAGCAUCGGCUAACUCCGUGCCAGCAGCCGCGGUAAUACGGGGGAUGCGAGCGUUAUCCGGAUUUAUUGGGGUAAAGGGGUGCGCAGGCGGCCUGUUAAGUCGGCGGUAAAAGCCCGGGGCUCAACCCCGGCGCGCCGUUGAAACUGGCGGGCUGGAGUUGGGGAGAGGUACGCGGAAUGCGCGGUGUAGCGGUGAAAUGCUUAGAUAUCGCGCAGAACCCCGAUUGCGAAGGCAGCGUACCGGAU
rnacentral:rRNA from 1 species